ensembl:lncRNA
AUGGGACAUACAACAAUCUACUGUAGAAAAGCGCACGUGUGUGUUAACAGCGAUCACAAAUCGAAAGUGUUUAAAAGACUUCUGGAUUACGCUGCACAUGACCGGCUGUUCUACUGCAAAGACACCAAAAUCCCAGUGUUGAGCAGUUUAGCUGCAGUAUGUCAGUGGAGCGAGGAAUGGACUCUCCGUCUGAGAUUAGUCUCUCACAGAAACAGAGUGUAAUAUCAGGCUCACAUGUGUUCAGCUCUGUGUCUUUGAAGAGUGAUCGGUCAAAAAAACAAACAGUUGACUUCAGUGAGGAAACACCAUCAUCUAGCAAAAGGUAUUUCAUGUGUUUUGUGUUAGCUAAUUUCUCCACCAAGAUAUUUAUGAUAUAAAUCAACUAAACAAUAAGUCACUAAAUAAUUCACAGAACACAGUGUU